GCUAUUAUCCCUAAAUUUUUCAUCUAAACUUUUUUGUUUCUCAAAUCUUUUCACACACAACCACAACUAGGGUUCCACAGAGUAGAACCCAAAGAAAACAAAGAAGAAUGAGAGAAUCCUAGAGCAUUCUUAUUCCAAACGACUUGCUCCUCCAUCCUCGAAGAUAAAUGGAGUUCACUUCCGGCCACCGUGUGCCGCUGUUGUCGUUUCAGACGAAAAAAAUGUAGAAACUGUUUGAUUUUCGAUGACCCGUCGAAACUUAUGUGGUUUCAUCGAAUUGCUUUCUCUCUGAACGCACAAUAACCACUAGAGGUGACGAAUUAGAAGAUUAUUUGUUAUACUGAAAGACAAACGUGGAUCACUUGUAAAUAUGGUUCUGAUUCACUUCAUAACUAGGGAUCUUCAUUCACGUUCGAUUUCAUUGAUCUAAUUUUUAAUUUGUUUGGCGACAAGAUAACAUGUGAAAUCAAACAAGGAAUCUAAUGGUUGAUGUAAUUUAUGGUUAACUCGCAAGAUGUUGAUGAGGGAAUAUGGGUUCUACAGAGGACGAGUUGAAGAUGGAUAUGAGGAUCAGGUUAAAAAAUCAUCCAGCAACAGAUUUUAGUAACUAUUUAUUAGUUGUUAGGACUUUAGAGUUAAACUUCAAUGAGCCAUAAGCCUAUAACCAUCGUGAAUACAACAACAAGCUAUUAUUUUAUGACUUUAAAUCUAUUUAGACAUUGUCUUUA